UCCCAGCGUGGGCACCACUUGCCUGAGUGUAGAGGCUGCCAGCAGUCGUACCUCAGGCUGCAUGGCACUUCUCUGCAUGUGCCUUCCUGUGGCUCAGUUUUCAUUUAAAGAUCCUGUCAUUAUGGACCACAGGAGUCCAGAGAGGUAGCCUGGCCAGUUACCUUGACAACCUCAUGAUGUCAUGCUGUAAACUUCUUCCUGGCUGCAGAUCUAAUGCGAUUCUCGAUACUGUCGGCUCCUCCCAGCCUGGAUGACAGCAGCUAAAGUGAGAGCUGACAGCUCACUUUUAAUGAUGCCCUUCGUGGCAUCUUUAGGGUAUAUUUGCAUUAGCAAUAGAAGGACGUGGACUCUCAUCUCCUAGCAGCAGGCAAGAGGAAGGAUAAGCAGGAAGACCCCACACGUGGUGACUCUCCAGUACAGACAUUGGAGCCAGCUUCAGUAAGCCCAAUGGACAGAGCCAGAGAAGGCGGAACUACAACCUCCUCCUGUAGGAUUUCUGUGAGCUGAAAUUGUGGAAGAUAGCUGUUAAGAUGCUUCCUAAUAAUUUCCACCUUCUGGUAUUUGCGCCCUGGGUGCUUUGUUCC